rnacentral:lncRNA from 1 species
AUGAAGACGCCGGCUGUGUUGGAUUUUCUGUGGCUAGCAAAACCAUGCUUAUCAGUCCCUUGGUGUCGACAGCAGAAUAUCGCACAGUAUCUGCCAGGUAGCUGUUGAUCUGUAAAUCAUCCACCUUUCCCAGAUUUAUUACAUUUGCAAAGACCCUAAGGGGCAGCAUCCUUUUUGAAGCUGAAAAUAAUUGCUUAUCUUUAUGAAGGUAGAGAGAGCCCUGAGGGAAGGAAUAAUGGGAAUAGAGACUAGCAGCAGUGGAAAAAAGAGAGGUUAGGGAGAGGGGGAGCUUGCAUUUUAGGGGCAGACUGACAGUUUGCAAAGUAACAUUUUCUUCAAAAAUCCAACUGAAGACAUUCACAAGUCUGCACGUUUAGUCCUGUUGGCUGGUCUUCUGUAGCAGCAGAGAUGGGAGAUGAUGACAAGGCUAUAU